ensembl:snRNA U2 U2 spliceosomal RNA
AUCACUUUUCGGCCUUUUGGCCAAGAUCAAGUGUAGUAUCUGUUCUUGUCAGUUUUAAAUGCCACCAGGUUAAUAGUAGCCAGCAUUUACUGAGGACUCCCACAUGCCAGGACUCUAU